rnacentral:rRNA from 1 species
UUAGAGUUUGAUCCUGGCUCAGGAUGAACGCUAGCGGCAGGCUUAACACAUGCAAGUCGAGGGGCAGCGAGAUCAGUGCUUGCACUGAUUGUCGGCGACCGGCGCACGGGUGCGUAACGCGUAUGCAACCUACCCAUUACAGGGGGAUAACACUGAGAAAUCGGUACUAAUACCCCAUAACAUCCAGGGAGGCAUCUUCUUGGGUUGAAAACUCCGGUGGUAAUGGAUGGGCAUGCGUUGUAUUAGUUAGUUGGUGGGGUAACGGCUCACCAAGACAACGAUACAUAGGGGGACUGAGAGGUUAACCCCCCACAUUGGUACUGAGACACGGACCAAACUCCUACGGGAGGCAGCAGUGAGGAAUAUUGGUCAAUGGACGCAAGUCUGAACCAGCCAUGCCGCGUGCAGGAAGACGGCUCUAUGAGUUGUAAACUGCUUUUGUACGAGGGUAAACGCAGAUACGCGUAUCUGUCUGAAAGUAUCGUACGAAUAAGGAUCGGCUAACUCCGUGCCAGCAGCCGCGGUAAUACGGAGGAUUCAAGCGUUAUCCGGAUUUAUUGGGUUUAAAGGGUGCGUAGGCGGUCGGAUAAGUUAGAGGUGAAAUCCCGGGGCUCAACUUCGGAAUUGCCUCUGAUACUGUUCGGCUAGAGAGUAGUUGCGGUAGGCGGAAUGUAUGGUGUAGCGGUGAAAUGCUUAGAGAUCAUACAGAACACCGAUUGCGAAGGCAGCUUACCAAGCUACUUCUGACGUUGAGGCACGAAAGCGUGGGGAGCAAACGAGGAUUAGAUACCCUGGUAGUCCACGCAGUAAACGAUGAUAACUCGUUGUCGGCGGAUACAGUGUCGGUGACUAAGCGAAAGCGAUAAGUUAUCCACCUGGGGAGUACGUUCGCAAGAAUGAAACUCAAAGGAAUUGACGGGGGCCCGCACAAGGCGGAGGAACAUGUGGUUUAAUUCGAUGAUACGCGAGGAACCUUACCCGGGCUUGAAAGUUAGUGACGGAUCUUGAAAGAGGUCUUCCCUUCGGGGCACGAAACUAGGUGCUGCAUGGUUGUCGUCAGCUCGUGCCGUGAGGUGUCGGGUUAAGUCCCAUAACGAGCGCAACCCCUACCGUUAGUUGCCAGCAGGUCAAGCUGGGCACUCUGACGGGACUGCCGGUGUAAGCCGAGAGGAAGGUGGGGAUGACGUCAAAUCAGCACGGCCCUUACGUCCGGGGCUACACACGUGUUACAAUGGCAGGUACAGAGGGCAGCUACCCAGCGAUGGGAUGGGAAUCUCGAAAGCCUGUCUCAGUUCGGAUUGGAGGCUGAAACCCGCCUCCAUGAAGUUGGAUUCGCUAGUAAUCGCGCAUCAGCCAUGGCGCGGUGAAUACGUUCCCGGGCCUUGUACUCACCGCCCGUCA